UGCCUCAUCUUACUGUUUUCAUAGUCUUUCCUGUUUGGCCCCUGAUGCAAAUUACCCCAGCACUUUCCAGUGUGGAUUAGAAGUGGUAAGGAAGCAGUAUGGGAUUCACAGGGUUCCAGUACUCAUGCUAGUCCUAGUCCAGGCUAUGACCUUAGAUGCUGUAUGUCAUUGUAGCUCCAACAAUGUGUAGAAUAAUGGAAGAAUCACAUUAUUUGAUCAAGCUCAUAUGUAACACAGAGGAAAAAAAACUGUUAUGUGUCUGAUUCCUUUGUUUGUGCCUUUAACCUUCACACCAUGAAGGCUCGUUCUAUGGCAGGAGAUACCAAGCUGUGAUGAGUCCAGCUCUCUCCUGUAACAGACAAGUGGUGGGCCUGAAACAGAGCUCCAACAAAGGUGCGUAUACUCCUUGAGUUAGGUUGGUAUCCGUGAGCAGCAUCACAUUGAGGUCUGCCUGAACAGUCCAUAAGAAGUGGAAUCCACACCAGUGCACUAGAGUGAGCUUUCAGCGAUCUGUGUCUGACACCUUCAAACUCAGAUUUUGUAUUGGAACCUAUGAACUACUCCUAACGGAAGUGCUAUCUCAGUGGCCUUGAUGUGGGGGUAGUACUGUGGAACCCUCUCUCACACCCCUUUAAUCUUGUUGGUUGGUUUGCUGGAGAGUAUGCUCUGGUGGGUUAACACCUCACCCCCAUGGUAACCAAAUGAGAAGAUUCUAGCAUCUUAGAGGGCACCAAACAUUAAGCUC
rnacentral:lncRNA from 1 species